UACGAAGGGGGCUAGCGUUGUUCGGAAUUACUGGGCGUAAAGCGCACGUAGGCGGGUUGCUAAGUCAGGGGUGAAAUCCUGGAGCUCAACUCCAGAACUGCCUUCGAUACUGGCGAUCUUGGAGUCCGGGAGAGGUGGGUGGAACUGCGAGUGUAGAGGUGAAAUUCGUAGAUAUUCGCAAGAACACCAGUGGCGAAGGCGGCUCACUGGCCCGGUACUGACGCUGAGGUGCGAAAGCGUGGGGAGCAAACAGG
rnacentral:rRNA from 1 species